UUAAGUAGACCACCUGCAGUAUAAUGUAGGCUUUCCAAAGGCAAAGGGAAAAGGCAGAUCAUUGCUAUUCUUAGCUGUGCAUAGCACUGGCACACCCAAAGCAACAACAUUAUCAGCUAACUUUUGCAACCCACAUUAACUGAUAUCAUUGUACUUGUUAAAAUAAACUCCUAAUAUAUUCAUCAAUAACCUGGAAAAUUACUGGAAGUCAACAAAUACAAGACUGCAAUACCUUAAUUUUAGUUUUUCCUAAAUUAAAGUAAUUCACUCAACCAGGACCAUAAAAGGCUAUAAAUCCUGACAGCAGUUCCUUUUCUUUACCACCGCUUGGUCCUUGAUAACUGCACAGUGCGAAACUCACAAUCAUACACGCAUGCAAGACUUUCAGGGAACAUGGUACAAAAUACAGUCAGCACUCACAUAUCCAACCCUGUGACGGAUAUUCAGAAAAAUUGUAACAUUGAAGAGAUGGGCUUUGGAUCAGAGAACAGGUGACGUAAAUCGCAUAUGAUGGGAUCUGCUGCCUGACUACCCAACAUAACACAAACAAGAGGCCAUACAAGAAUGAAGAAUACAGCAUCCAGUGCCUGCAGCAGUUAUAACAACAUGGUUUCUAAAAAAAGAAACCCAAUCUGUACAUCCCAAAAGACAAUAAACUCUAAGGAUUACCAAGAACAAAAAUACACUACCACAUGGAAAAUAUAUCUCCUGUUAAAGGAUUUAAGUCAAUUAUAUUAAUGUAUGGAAUUUACAGGAAAACUCCCAAACCCAAGCCAUAUAUAAAACAAAAUCUGUGGUAAAUACAUAAAAAAACUAAUUGCAGAUGUACCGGUAUAAAAAAAAAAUAAACAGAGAACAUAAACCAGAGAAGCAUACACUACCAAUACAUCAAUGAUACGGAUUAGUGUUUCCAUCUAGGACAGUUGGUGGAAAUAACCAUAACAUUGUCAUUCUCAAACUCCAGCUACAGAAAGCAUCUGCAUAUUCAGGAGGACCCACUACACAAUAAAAGAGAGCAGCCCUGAUUUCAUUAACAGCAAUUCACAUUCUAGAAUAUGCACACAAAUCUGUUCUACAGGCACUACUUACAGCUGUGUUAACAUGACUUACCUGUUGGGUAAUGGCAAAUAUACAGUAUGGACACCAGCACAUCGAAGACAUCACAAUUCGAAGUUAACUUCAUCAUCGCAAUUAGGAAACUAUGACCAAUAUUGUGGCAUUGUUGUGGGUUUUUUAUGCAAGUACAUACUUAUGUCUUCUUUUAACCCUUCCCUCUUUGUAAACUUUUCUGAAAGUUGUAUUUAUCUAAAUUAAUAUUAAUGAUUCAAUGAUAUGUCUUCAAAACACUGAAUAUAUGAUCAGUAGCGAUAUAUAAGGGUUAGACACCCUAAGCCUAAAACAACCUACAACAUUGCAAUAUGUUCCAAAGAAAAACAAAUUAACACAGUGUGCAGUGCGAGUCCCAGCCACAGACUAAAUAUCUUUGAAAUCUCAAAAAUACUAAAAUACAACGCAUGAUACCAAAAAUCAAAACUCCCUAACAAAUAUCAUUUCACAUUACACAGUAAGAGUAAUAUUCAAUACCUCAUUACCAGAACAAAAUAUGUCAGAUGGAUAAUAGACUGGUGAGGUUUACAUAUGGUGAUCAUUUCUCAAGCUAUUUCCAUUAACUGUUUGUGUUACAUUUUGCUUAACCCACCGCUUGAUCAAACCAGUUUACAUGUAGCUUCCCUUCUUGAAAAUCUAGUCAAAAAAAGCAUUACAUUUCUUUUAAAAGUAGAAUCUUUUCUGUGUGUAAUAUACAUUGCUUGGGAUUUCUGUUGUUGAAGAGAUUAAAAGAACAGCUUACAUAUUCCAGUACUCUAUUGUAUUUUAAGAAGGAUUUACAUCAAGGAUUCAGUUUACAUUACAAGCCUAUGCUAAAAAAAAUCCCUUAAAGACAGAAUGCAGUGCAUGUAAUUGAAUUAAACAAUUUCACUAGUAAAUAAAUGCAAUGCUGGAAUUUUUUACUUCAUGUACCGCUAAUGCUUAUCGUGCAUAAGACAACAAUAAACUGAAUUAUAACUAGCCUAUUCAAAUAUUUUGUAAAGCACUAGGGAAGUAGAAACUGUACCGUAUAACAGCUUACUUGCAUGGUGAAGGUUUUGAAUCCUUAACUGAUACAUAUUUUAUUACAGUGGUUUUGUGCAAUUAUUUUGUAACCAUGACAUUUUUGGGUUUUCUGUGCACAUCACUCACAUUUUCAUGUCAAGAAGGUGAGCACGCUAGUUUAUCAAGAAAAGGGAUAUUUACCCGCGAAAAUAUUUUAUCAUGAACAUGUCUUGAGGAAUGUUCGUGGCAAACUUAUCAAAGUGUAAUAAUACUAUAACAUGAUCAAAUCCAAACUAGACUUGUCUCAUGAAUAAACAGAUCCUUAAUUGAUAGGAUAACUAUUAUUUAUUCUGCAUCACCUAUGUUUCAUUUGCAGAUAGGCACACACACUCAUCUGUAUUGUGGGAACUUUUUAUAAAAUGGCAAAAAGGAUGUGGGUACUUUUUAUUUUUUUUUUAUUUGUACUUUUUCUGCUGUUACUACUGGAAGGAUCAAUUUUUAGUGCAAUGCACUCGCCACUCUGAAUGCUGAGUCUCAAUCAGGCACCGAAGCAUUCCACUUUGGCCAAGGAGUGCCAGACAAGGAUGUCUUUAUUAACAAUAGCAAUAUUAGCACUGGUCCCAAUUUUGUAUUCUGUACUUCAGUUUGGACUCUGCAAAUAUUUCAAAGGCAACUCUUGGUACCAAAUAGUUUCUACUGGUCUAACUGAAAUCUGGCCGUAUGACCUAGUGCCAGGAAAUGAUUAGAUACCAAGAAGUAACAGUAUACAAAUAAUGAAUGUUUCCCAUACCAGAAAGAGGGGUCAGUGACGUCGCUAAUAAUGCUAAUAACAGAUAACUUGGUGUGAACCCAUGACAAUGCAGACUGCAAGCAAGGGCCUUAACCAUUAUGCAAAAGUGCCCGGCUCCUUUUAAAGUCAUUUCUCGACGGGGGUCAGAAUGCAUAGCAGCAGGGCAUCACACAACACUACCUGUUACACGUAAUUGUUUUUAUCUGUAAAGCAAUUUGAAGCGAUGUAUUGCGAAGGGUCGUAUACAAGAAAUAAAGAGUGAUUGACUGAUUGGCUAAAUUGCUAAGCAUUUAUUUUUUUUUUUUUAAAUCUAUACAGCUUAUUUGGUCAUAUGGUGGCACAAUGUUUGGGUAACACAAAUUCAAAGAAAUAAAAAAAAGAACACGGCACUCAUUAAAAUAUCACUGGUAUGUAAUUCAAUUUUAAGUUAUAAAAAAGGCUUGCAAUAAAAUACAUUUCAUGUAAUAAUGUUUUUUUUUUUUUUUUUUUUUUUUUACAAAAAACAUACUUAAAAGGAUGCAGGCACAGUUCAGAAAAAUCCUUUACAUUUAUUCUUAAAAGCAUCAGGGUGUAUUACAAAUACAAAUCACUAGCAGCACUUAUUUAA